GACGAACGCUGGCGGCGUGCUUAACACAUGCAAGUCGAACGGAAAGGCCCUGCUUUGGUGGGGUGCGCGAGUGGCGAACGGGUGAGUAACACGGGAGUAACCUGCCCUGGACUUUGGGAUAACGUCAGGAAACUGGGGCUAAUACCGGAUAGGAGCUCCUGCUGCAGGGUGGUGGUUGGAAAGUUUCGGCGGUUGGGGAUGGACUCGCGGCUUAUCAGCUUGUUGGUGGGGGAGUGGCUUACCAAGGCUUUGAAGGGUAGCCGGCCUGAGAGGGUGGCCGGCGCCAUUGGGACUGAGAGACGGCCCAGACUGCUACGGGAGGCAGCAGGGGAGAAUAUUGUACAAUGGGCGGAAGCCUGAUGCAGCAACGCCGCGUGUGGGAUGAAGGUCUUCGGGUUGUAAAACGCAUUCGCCUGUGACGAAGCGUGAGUGACGGUAAUGGGUAAAGAAGCACCGGCUAACUACGUG
rnacentral:rRNA from 1 species